UCGAACGCGAAAGCCCCGCAAGGGGUCAGUAGAGUGGCAAACGGGUGAGUAACACGUGGGUGAUCUGCCUCAGAGUGGGGGAUAACGACCCGAAAGGGUCGCUAAUACCGCAUAACAUCCUGCGCUUGGAUGCGUGGAGAUCAAAGUUGGGGAUUCGCAAGAACCUGACGCUUGGAGAGGAGCCCGCGGCCGAUUAGCUAGUUGGUGAGGUAACGGCUCACCAAGGCAACGAUCGGUAUCCGGCCUGAGAGGGCGGACGGACACACUGGGACUGAGACACGGCCCAGACUCCUACGGGAGGCAGCAGUGGGGAAUUGUUCGCAAUGGGCGCAAGCCUGACGACGCAACGCCGCGUGGAGGACGAAGAUUUUCGGAUCGUAAACUCCUUUCGAUCGGGAAGAACAGCUUUCGGGUUAACAGCCGGAGAGUCUGACGGUACCGAGAGAAGAAGCCCCGGCUAACUCCGUGCCAGCAGCCGCGGUAAUACGGGGGGGGCAAGCGUUGUUCGGAAUUACUGGGCGUAAAGGGCUCGUAGGCGGCCAACUAAGUCCGACGUGAAAUCCCAAGGCCUAACCUUGGAACUGCGUCGGAUACUGGAUGGCUUGAAUUCGGGAGAGGGAUGCAGAAUUCCAGGUGUAGCGGUGAAAUGCGUAGAUAUCUGGAGGAAUACCGGUGGCGAAGGCGGCAUCCUGGACCGACAUUGACGCUGAGGAGCGAAAGCUAGGGGAGCAAACGGGAUUAGAUACCCCGGUAGUCCUAGCCCUAAACGAUGAAUGUUUGG
rnacentral:rRNA from 1 species